UACGUAGGGGGCAAGCGUUGUCCGGAUUUAUUGGGCGUAAAGAGCGUGUAGGCGGCUUUACAGGUCCGUUGUGAAAACUCGAGGCUCAACCUCGAGACGCCGGUGGAAACCGUAAGGCUAGAGUCCGGAAGAGGAGAGUGGAAUUCCCGGUGUAGAGGUGAAAUUCGUAGAUAUCGGGAGGAACACCAGUGGCGAAGGCGGUUGCCUGGAGCUUUGCUGACGCUGAUGCGCGAAAGCGUGGGGAGCGAUCCGG
rnacentral:rRNA from 1 species